GGCGAGUGAAGCGGCAAAAGCUCAAAUUUGAAAUCUGGUACCUUCGGUGCCCGAGUUGUAAUUUGGAGAGGGCAACUUUGGGGCCGUUCCUUGUCUAUGUUCCUUGGAACAGGACGUCAUAGAGGGUGAGAAUCCCGUGUGGCGAGGAGUGCGGUUCUUUGUAAAGUGCCUUCAAAAAGUCGAGUUGUUUGGGAAUGCAGCUCUAAGUGGGUGGUAAAUUCCAUCUAAAGCUAAAUAUUGGCGAGAGACCGAUAGCGAACAAGUACAGUGAUGGAAAGAUGAAAAGAACUUUGAAAAGAGAGUGAAAAAGUACGUGAAAUUGUUGAAAGGGAAGGGCAUUUGAUCAGACAUGGUGUUUUGUGCCCUCUGCUCCUUGUGGGUAGGGGAAUCUCGCAUUUCACUGGGCCAGCAUCAGUUUUGGUGGCAGGAUAAAUCCAUAGGAAUGUAGCUUGCCUCGGUAAGUAUUAUAGCCUGUGGGAAUACUGCCAGCUGGGACUGAGGACUGCGACGUAAGUCAAGGAUGCUGGCAUAAUGGUUAUAUGCCGCCCGUCUU
rnacentral:rRNA from 1 species